ACGGGUGAGUAACACGUGAGUAACCUGCCCCCGACUCUGGGAUAAGCCUGGGAAACYGGGUCUAAUACUGGAUAUGACCACCAACCGCAUGGUGGGGGGUGGAAACUAUCUCUCGGUGGGGGAUGGACUCGCGGCCUAUCAGCUUGAUGGUGAGGUAAUGGCUCACCAAGGCGACGACGGGUAGCCGGCCUGAGAGGGUGACCGGCCACACUGGGACUGAGACACGGCCCAGACUCCUACGGGAGGCAGCAGUGGGGAAUAUUGCACAAUGGGGGAAAGCCUGAUGCAGCGACGCCGCGUGAGGGAUGACGGCCUUCGGGUUGUAAACCUCUUUCAGUAGGGAAGAAGNGAAAGUGACAUUACCUGCAGAAGAAGCACCGGCUAACUACGUGCCAGCAGCCGCGGUAAUACGUAGGGCGCAAGCGUUAUCCGGAUUUAUUGGGCGUAAAGAGCUCGUAGGCGGUUUGUUGCGUCUGCCGUGAAAGUCCGRGGCUCAACCUCGGAUCUGCAGUGGGUACGGGCAGACUAGAGUGAUGUAGGGGAGAGUGGAAUUCCUGGUGUAGCGGUGAAAUGCGCAGAUAUCAGGAGGAACACCGAUGGCGAAGGCAGGUCUCUGGGCUUUAACUGACGCUGAGGAGCGAAAGCNU
rnacentral:rRNA from 1 species